rnacentral:rRNA from 1 species
GAUGAACGCUGGCGGCGUGCUUAACACAUGCAAGUCGAACGAAGCACUUAUCUUUGAUUCUUCGGAUGAAGAGGUUUGUGACUGAGUGGCGGACGGGUGAGUAACGCGUGGGUAACCUGCCUCAUACAGGGGGAUAACAGUUAGAAAUGACUGCUAAUACCGCAUAAGACCACGGAGCCGCAUGGCUCCGUGGAAAAAACUCCGGUGGUAUGAGAUGGACCCGCGUCUGAUUAGGUAGUUGGUGGGGUAACGGCCUACCAAGCCGACGAUCAGUAGCCGACCUGAGAGGGUGACCGGCCACAUUGGGACUGAGACACGGCCCAAACUCCUACGGGAGGCAGCAGUGGGGAAUAUUGCACAAUGGGGGAAACCCUGAUGCAGCGACGCCGCGUGAGCGAAGAAGUAUUUCGGUAUGUAAAGCUCUAUCAGCAGGGAAGAAAAUGACGG